UACAGGGGGUGCAAACGUUGCUCGGAAUCAUUGGGCGUAAAGCGCACGUAGGCGGUCUGUUAUGUCGGAUGUGAAAUCCCCAGGCUCAACCUGGGAACUGCAUCCGAUACUGGAUGGCUUGAAUUCGGGAGAGGGAUGCAGAAUUCCAGGUGUAGCGGUGAAAUGCGUAGAUAUCUGGAGGAAUACCGGUGGCGAAGGCGGCAUCCUGGACCGACAUUGACGCUGAUGAGCGAAAGCUAGGGGAGCAAACGGG
rnacentral:rRNA from 1 species